UACGUAGGGGGCAAGCGUUGUCCGGAUUUAUUGGGCGUAAAGAGCGUGUAGGCGGCCAGGUAGGUCUGCUGUGAAAACUCGAGGCUUAACCUCGAGCUGUCGGCGGAAACCAUCUGGCUAGAGUCCGGAAGAGGAGAAUGGAAUUCCCGGUGUGAGCGGUGAAAUGCGCAGAUAUCGGGAAGAACACCCGUGGCGAAGGCAGGUCUCUGGGCCACUACUGACGCUGAGAAGCGAAAGCUGGG
rnacentral:rRNA from 1 species